UUACGACGGAUACCCCAGGUUUUAGAAAUGUAAGAAAACCGCUUUUUCCAUCUUCAUACUUGAAUUUCCAUUCAUAGACAUACUUUCACUUAGUUGUAAAGUCACCGAAUGAGGGCAAUUUUGUCAAAUAACAAUCUAGUAAUUGUCUAAAGUAGUCUUGACCGGGUUGACCAAGUGGUUUUAUGACGUGGCAGUUCGGCGCCUGACCAAAGGCUGUUUUGGGGCGGGCCCCGCUUAAGCCUCUUCCUUAAAUAAUUUAAUUAUUUACAAAAAAAAAUAUGUGAGUAAAUUACAGCUGGAGUCUAGGUGCGCCCUACUUCUUUAAUAAAGUAAUUUGUUGGGCUUCGCAAGUGAUCACGACAGGAACUUCUCUUGUGAGCGAAUGCAACAAUGCCAGAUGGUCGCGCCACGUUGUGUUGUCCUAUAUGGAAAGGCUCUGUGUAACAGUGUGUUGGCUGUUUGGACUAAGAAGCGGAUUUAUUCGAAGCGGAGUCAAGUGCUGUGCAGUAAGGAUACAAGAUAUUUCGAGGUAGUUAAUCACGUGGAAACGGCGUGACCAAGGGGUUUCCUCACUCUCCCAUGUGUAGCUCCUCCCUGCCCCCUCGCCUCCACUCGGUGAUUCUCUUGUCUUCCAGAAGGCGAUCGCCUGAUCCCUUCCCGAUCGCAACCGUCUGAGCCGAAACGGGUAGUCCCGUGGAGACGAUCGAGAAGUUUGACAAGGAUUCGGUUUUCGGCGUUUUCCCUUCCGCUUGUGUGAUUAUCAUAAUCUAAUUGUCUCUUUUACCUAUUUUGUUCAGCUUUACCGUAGUUUGUUCUGUAUUUGUGCGGGAAAUGAUUUUACUUUAACAAUAUGGAAAAUUUUCUUUUAAGGGAUCAUUGCUAGCUCGUUGCUGUUCCUAUUGGUGUAAUUCUUUUUAAUAGACCAGAUGUAUGCAACAGCUUAAGACAGUAAAGCUAAAACCGUUCUGCUUUUUGAGGAGUCCGUCAAACUGGACUGAGUCGCCACACACGAUCUUGUUUAGCUCAGCAAUGGCCUCUGCGUUAAUAUUGUGCAGCUGCUGUUUUUUGUGCUUCAUAUUUUAGGGUAAUUAUAGAUAAAUGUGCGGUAAAUAAUGUCAAUGCUUGAGAGAAUGCAGAGCUUAGGACGGUAGCGGCAAGGUUGCUCCUGAUGCACGGUAUAAUGGUAUCUAUGUAGGACUUCAUGAUUGCCUUUAGUUUUGGGUUUCGCCGAAUAAUGUUCUUGAAAUUGAAAAAUGUGAAGUAGUGGAUUGGAUGCUUGUAGGCAAUUGACAUCAUGAAGUGUUGAAGCGAUUCCACACUCCAAUGCUUCGAGAUCUCGGCCGUUGGUUGUUGACGAGCUUCCUUCCCACUCCUGUUGGAGUGAGUUAGGAAUGAUAAUUACUGAGUUGACAGCAUUCAAUUCUUACUAUAAUUAGCGUAUCACUUGUUAGGAAUAUAAUCUCUAAAUUACAGUAGGAUAAGCAGCAUUCAACUAGUGGGAAAAGGCUUGGUUGUUGUUGUUGUUAUAGGCAUCAUUCAAUUCUUUACUGUAAUUAUCAUAUCACAUUGUAUCACUAUAUAAUGUAUGUAUUAUCGUUGGAUAAUUCAAGGAAAAGAAAUACUUUUCUUCUACCUAAAGGUUUUGACAUGGUAUUAGAGCUAGUUACAACCUCUACAUUCUAAUUCUUCCACCACCCUAUCAUGGCCGUUGAAAUUCCUUCAACCGACCUAACCACUCAAUGUAAUCAACUCGGCAGUCACACAACCUCUGGAUCUGACAUAGCUAUAGCCCCGAUUGGCGUAAAGUUGGAUGGCUCCAACUAUUCUUUAUAGUCCAGGUGGUUGAAAUGUAUAUUCCGGACAAAGAUAAAUUGGGAUAUAUCAAUGGAGAUUUCCCUCAGCCAGCCCUGACCGAUCCGGCCUUUCGACGAUGGCAUACUAAUAAUGUUAUUGUCAAAGGUUAGUUAAUCAACUCUAUGGAUGCCUUCCUUAUUUUGAAUUUUAUUCGUUUCCCAACCGCGAAAUCGGUGUGGGACGCCCUGGCCACAACACCUCUCAAGUGUACGAUCUUUAUCGUCGUUUGACAUGACUUAAACAAGUCGGUGGUUUUCUAGAGAAGUUCUAUUUAGAUCAUCAAGGACUUUGGCGGGAAAUUGAUUUCUGACGACUAAAUCUGAUGGACUACCCAGUUGAUAUUCAGCGGUACAAUUCCUUGGUUCAAGAAGACUGCGUCUACCUAUUUUUGGAUGGCCUUGAUAAUAUGCAUAGCGAUAUCCUAUAACUCUAGCUGCUCGCCACACUAUAGCAAGCUUUUAUCCAUGUUCGUCGAGAGGCUACUCGGCAAUUAGUAAUGACCAACCACCCUAUGAAUGAUCUACAUGGAGCAACCUUAGCAACUUGAGGUUCUCGGUCAAGCUCGCGGGUUCCACCACACGUUGGUUCUCGGUCGAGUCCUGGUGGGAGAACAGGUCCAACCGCUAAGCCCGCUCUUUGCUCGCAUUGUGGUAGCGUUAUUCACUCCCGUGACAACUGUUUUAAACUUUAUGGAUACCCUAACUGGUGGCAUGACCUCCAAGCCGGCAAGAGAAAAGAUAGCAGUGGGCAGGGCUUUUGGCCAAGCCAGGCAGGUAGACUUAGCAAGGCAUCUCUGGUUGACGAGCAAGAUGUUGGACAGGACCGUUUGUCUAGCCUGAUGGUCAAGCCAAGCCAAGUUGCAGUGGCAAGAGCACCUGCCCAAACAACAGGGCAGAACGUUGAUCUAGGCCAGACCAUUGGACAAGAUAGUCCAAGUCGGGCAGUCGAGCAGCAGAUGUCCAUCCUUCCACCUGAUGGUCUACCUACUUCCUCAGGUACUCUUCUUGGUUCGGCUCAAGGGAUAGCAUAUCAUUCCUGGACACUUGAUUUUGGUGCAACAUAUCACAUGACUUUUAAUGUGACUGAUUUUACUUAGCGCUCUCCUCCCAAGCGAACCACAAUUGCCAAUGUUAAUAGUGGCAAAUCUUUGGUAACUGGGGUUGGGACUGUACAAUUGUCCCCUAUCCUAUUCUUAUCUAAUAUCCUACUAGUGCUUUCCUUGGCGCACAGACUACUAUCUGUUGGCCAACUUACUAAAGACUUGCACUGUACUGAUUUAUCCAUGUUUUGUGUCAUUCUGACAAAGGAGAUCAUUGGACGUAGUACUAAGAGGGAGGAAGUGCUCACCACACAUCCAGUGAUUGUCAAGCAUAACAGGUUCUUCUAAAGCGUCAUCAACUGGGCUACCCUUCUUUCAGUUAUUUGCACCAUAUGUUUUUAGCUUUAUUUUUAGGUUCAUCUCCUAUGGAUUUUAAAUAUGAAACUUGU